rnacentral:rRNA from 1 species
GCACCGCCAAUGGAAUUGAGAACCGCCCAGACUCUCUACGGAGGCAGCAGUGGGGAUAUUGCACCAAUGGCCGAAGCUGAUGCAGCGACGCCGCGGGAGGGAUGACGCUUCGGUUGUAAACUCUUUCAGCAGGGAAGAAGCGCAAGUGACGGUACUGCAGAAGAAGCACCGGCUAACUACGUGCCAGCAGCCGCGGUAAUACGUAGGGUGCGAGCGUGUCCGGAAUUAUUGGGCGUAAAGAGCUUGUAGGCGGUUUGUUGCGUCUGCAGUGAAAAUCCGGGGCUCAACCCCGGGACUUGCUGUGGGUACGGGCAGACUAGAGUGUGGUAGGGGAGACCGGAAUUCCUGGUGUAGCGGUGGAAUGCGCAGAUAUCAGGAGGAACACCGAUGGCGAAGGCAGGUCUCUGGGCCAUAACUGACGCUGAGAAGCGAAAGCAUGGGGAGCGAACAGGAUUAGAUACCAUGGUAGUCCAUGCCGUAAACGUUGGGCGCUAGGUGUGGGACUCAUUCCACGAGUUCCGUGCCGCAGCUAACGCAUUAAGCGCCCCGCCUGGGGAGUACGGCCGCAAGGCUAAAACUCAAAGGAAUUGACGGGGGCCCGCACAAGCGGCGGAGCAUGCGGAUUAAUUCGAUGCAACGCGAAGAACCUUACCAAGGC